rnacentral:rRNA from 1 species
UACGUAGGUGGCAAGCGUUGUCCGGAAUUACUGGGCGUAAAGAGCUCGUAGGCGGUGUGUCGCGUCGGCCGUGAAAACCUGCAGCUUAACUGUGGGCGUGCGGUCGAUACGGGCAUCACUGGAGUUCGGCAGGGGAGACUGGAAUUCCUGGUGUAGCGGUGAAAUGCGCAGAUAUCAGGAGGAACACCGGUGGCGAAGGCGGGUCUCUGGGCCGAUACUGACGCUGAGGAGCGAAAGCGUGGGGAGCGAACAGG